rnacentral:rRNA from 1 species
CCUACGGGGGGCUGCAGUGAGGAAUAUUGGUCAAUGGGCGUAAGCCUGAACCAGCCAAGUCGCGUGAGGGAUGAAGGUUCUAUGGAUCGUAAACCUCUUUUAUAAGGGAAUAAAGUGUGGGACGUGUCCUAUUUUGUAUGUACCUUAUGAAUAAGGAUCGGCUAACUCCGUGCCAGCAGCCGCGGUAAUACGGAGGAUGCGAGCGUUAUCCGGAUUUAUUGGGUUUAAAGGGUGCGCAGGCGGCGAGUUAAGUCAGCGGUAAAAUUUCGGGGCUCAACCCCGAUGAGCCGUUGAAACUGGCUUGCUAGAGUGGGCGAGAAGUAUGCGGAAUGCGUGGUGUAGCGGUGAAAUGCAUAGAUAUCACGCAGAACUCCGAUUGCGAAGGCAGCAUACCGGCGCCCAACUGACGCUCAGGCACGAAAGCGUGGGUAUCGAACAGGAUUAGAUACCCCAGUAGUC